rnacentral:misc_RNA from 1 species
CCGAAGGUUUUAACAGCGCCAAACCCCUGUGAACAUACCAUGUUGUUGCCUCGGCAGGAGGCCAGGGGGCCCGCAGCCUGUAUAACGGACGGCCCUGCCAGGAGGACCCCUAAACUCUUUUGCUAUAUGUACUGUCUGAGCUAAAACCAUAAAUAAGUCA